rnacentral:rRNA from 1 species
AUGGCGGUAUGCGCGAUCGCAACCAUGCACGCCGUCGUGCACCACCACCCCCCUAGCCUCCACGUCCCGCCGCCGCGCCGGCUCGCCCGCGCGGCCGUCCGCGGCACGGCCGGCGCCACCACCGCGGCGGCGACGGAGCCAGACACGUUGUCGAAGGCGUUCUGGGACUACAACCUCCUCUUCCGGUCGCAGCGCGCCGAGACGUCCGCCCCCGUGCAGCUCCGCGUCACCGAGGGCGCCAUCCCGCCGGACUUCCCGGCCGGCACCUACUACCUCGCCGGGCCCGGCAUGUUCUCCGACGACCACGGCUCCAUCGUCCACCCGCUCGACGGCCACGGCUACCUCCGCUCCUUCCGCUUCCACCCCGACGACGGCGUGCACUACGCCGCACGGUACGUGGAGACGGCGGCGAAGACGGAGGAGAAGGGUGACGGCGCGUCGUGGAGGUUCACGCACCGGGGCCCCUUCUCGGUGCUGCAGGGCGGGCACAGGGUGGGCAACGUGAAGGUGAUGAAGAACGUGGCCAACACCAGCGUGCUCUGGUGGGGCGGCCGGCUGCUCUGCCUCUGGGAGGGCGGCAUGCCGUACGAGCUCGACCCCAAGACGCUGGAGACCGUCGGCCCGUUCGACCUGCUCGCGCUCGGCGACCGCGCCGACGGGGCGGCCCCCGCUCGGCGCCGCCUGGGGCACCGGCGGCGGCCCUGGCUGGCGGAGGCCGGGCUCGACGUGGCCACCCGCUUGCUGCGCCCCGUGCUCAGUGGCGUGUUCAGCAUGCCGCCCAAGCGGCUGCUGGCGCACUACAAGGUCGACCCCAAGCGCAACCGGCUGCUCAUGGUGGCCUGCAACGCCGAGGACAUGCUCCUCCCGCGCGCCAACUUCACUUUCUACGAGUUCGACGCCGGAUUCAGGCUGGUGCAGAAGCGAGAGUUCGUGCUGCCGGCGCACCUCAUGAUCCACGACUGGGCCUUCACCGACUCCCACUACGUCGUCCUCGGCAACAGGAUCAGGCUCGACAUCCCGGGGUCGAUGCUGGCCAUGACGGGCACGCACCCCAUGAUCGCGGCGCUGACGCUGGACCCGGGCAGGCAGACCACGCCGGUCUACCUGCUGCCGCGCUCCACGGAGGCCGUGGCCAGCGGCCGCGACUGGACCGUGCCCGUCGAGGCGCCGUCGCAGAUGUGGUCGCUGCACGUCGGCAACGCCUUCGAGGAGGACAACGCCCGCGGCGGCCUCGACCUGCACCUGCACAUGUCGGGCUGCUCCUACGACUGGUUCCAUUUCCACAGGAUGUUCGGUUACAACUGGAAGAACAAGAAGCUGGACCCUGCCUUCAUGAACGCGGUAAAGACCAAGGAAAUGCUGCCUCGCCUCGUAAAGGUGGCAAUUGAGCUCGACAAGAGAGGAGGAGCAUACCGGAGAUGCUCCGUGAAGAGACUGUCUGAUCAGUGGAACAGACCGGCAGACUUCCCCGCGAUAAAUCCAGGCUAUGCCAACAAGAGGAAUAGGUUCAUUUACGCGGGCGCUGCCUCCGGUUCUCGCAAACUACUCCCAUAUUUUCCGUUUGACAGCGUGGUGAAGGUCGAUGUCUCGAAUGGGUCGGCGAGGCGCUGGUCUUCCGAGGGGCGCAAGUUCGUCGGGGAGCCGGUCUUCAUCCCCACCGGCGGUGGGGAGGAGGAUCACGGCUAUGUUCUUCUGGUAGAGUAUGCGGUAUCCGAGGACAGAUGUAACCUGGUGGUGUUGGAUGCAAGGAAGAUAGGGAAAAGAGGUGCACUUGUGGCAAAACUUGAAGUACCAAAGCACCUCACCUUCCCAAUGGGAUUCCAUGGGUUUUGGGCUGAUAAAUGA